rnacentral:rRNA from 1 species
UACGGAGGGGGGCUAGCGUUGUUCGGAAUUACUGGGCGUAAAGCGCGCGUAGGCGGCUUUGUAAGUUAGAGGUGAAAGCCCGGAGCUUAACUCCGGAAUUGCCUUUAAGACUGCAUCGCUAGAAUUGUGGAGAGGUAAGUGGAAUUCCGAGUGUAGAGGUGAAAUUCGUAGAUAUUCGGAAGAACACCAGUGGCGAAGGCGACUUACUGGACACAUAUUGACGCUGAGGUGCGAAAGCGUGGGGAGCAAACAGG